rnacentral:rRNA from 1 species
UACGUAGGGUGCGAGCGUUAAUCGGAAUUACUGGGCGUAAAGCGUGCGCAGGCGGUUCGUUGCGUCCGAUGUGAAAGCCCCGGGCUUAACCUGGGAAUGGCGUUGGAAACUGGCGAGCUGGAGUGUGGCAGAGGGGGGUGGAAUUCCGCGUGUAGCAGUGAAAUGCGUAGAGAUGCGGAGGAACACCGAUGGCGAAGGCGACUUUCUGGGCUAUAACUGACGCUGAGGCGCGAAAGCGUGGGGAGCAAACAGG